rnacentral:rRNA from 1 species
UACGUAGGGUGCAAGCGUUGUCUGGAAUUAUUGGGCGUAAAGAGCUUGUAGGCGGUUUGUCGCGUCUGCUGUGAAAUCUCAAGGCUCAACCUUGAGCUUGCAGUGGGUACGGGCAGACUAGAGUGCGGUAGGGGAGAUUGGAAUUCCUGGUGUAGCGGUGGAAUGCGCAGAUAUCAGGAGGAACACCAAUGGCGAAGGCAGAUCUCUGGGCCGUAACUGACGCUGAGGAGCGAAAGCAUGGGGAGCGAACAGG